ensembl:snRNA U6 U6 spliceosomal RNA
GUGCUCUCUUCAGUAGUACAUACACUAAAACUGGAAUGAAACAAAAAGAUUAGCAUGGCCCUGUGCAAGGAUGACAUGCAAAUUAGUGAAGUGUUUCAUAUUUCA